AGGCCUAACACAUGCAAGUCGAGCGGAAACGACUUAACUGAACCUUCGGGGAACGUUAAGGGCGUCGAGCGGCGGACGGGUGAGUAAUGCCUGGGAAAUUGCCCUGAUGUGGGGAUAACCAUUGGAAACGAUGGCUAAUACCGCAUAAUAGCUUCGGCUCAAAGAGGGGGACCUUCGGGCCUCUCGCGUCAGGAUAUGCCCAGGUGGGAUUAGCUAGUUGGUGAGGUAAGGGCUCACCAAGGCAACGAUCCCUAGCUGGUCUGAGAGGAUGAUCAGCCACACUGGAACUGAGACACGGUCCAGACUCCUACGGGAGGCAGCAGUGGGGAAUAUUGCACAAUGGCGCAAGCCUGAUGCAGCCAUGCCGCGUGUAUGAAGAAGGCCUUCGGGUUGUAAAGUACUUUCAGCAGUGAGGAAGGUUCAUACGUUAAUAGCGUAUGGAUUUGACGUUAGCUGCAGAAGAAGCACUGGCUAACUCCGUG
rnacentral:rRNA from 1 species